ACACACACACACACACACACACACACACACACACACACACACACACACACACACACGUAUUGUCAGUGUCCUCUCUGGUCUGGAAUAGAAGAGGAGUCGAUGUGUGAGGAACGUUUCAAGUGGAAGGAGAAGCUUUGCUUAAAGAUGGCCGCCUUUUCGUGUAGUAUUUUACGGCUUUCGGGAGCUUCAGGACGGCUAUCCGAGGGUCGUGAUGAUCUCCGUGUGUUUUCAUGUUUUCAUCGACAAGGAGCUUCACUUCCUGCCGGCUUCACGUUACAUGAAACAACAAUGGCUUUAAACUUGAAGCUGCCAUUAUCUUUUUAUUUAUUGAGAAUAUAGUGUAAUGUGAAAGUGUUGUGAAGCUACAGAGAAAUAUCACGUGAAUCUACUGUAUUCCAAAAAGGUAGGAUUAUACUACGUUGUCAUAUUUCUCAGCGUUUCAGCUUAUAAUUUGCUUUAUUUUUAGACUAUAUUUCAGAUCUCGAUGCCUGAAUGCCGCUACAAAAAAAAGAAAAGAAAAGCGAAAUAAGGAAUCAGAAGAAUACAGAAUACCACAUGGCAGCUAAAUAUUAAACUCAGUUUUCUUUCUUAUUUAAAUUAAUUUGGCAUUGCAAAUUAAUUUUUAAAAAAAAUAUGUUCCAUUCACUCUCAUAAAUGGAUAACUAAUAAUAAUUUAACUUAAUACAACAAUAUUUUUUUUUUUUAAGUUUUCUAGUUUGGGCUUUUCAAAAUCUGUAUUUAUUAUUAUUAAUAUUAACAGAAAAACGCAGUCACACUUGACAUUCUUGUUAUCUUGCGUGUGUGUCGCUCACACACACACACACACACACACACACGCGCGAUGCUUUAAUGGCUUAUAACGUGUUGAAAGAUAUUGCAGAACAUUUCAGUUGAAAUGUGAUUCAUCUCCAGUGAGAUAGAAGAGGAAGCGGUUUAUUCAGAUAAGCGUCGGCCGGUUCAUCGAUGAUGCUGCAAAGAUACAAUUAUUAUAUUUAAAGAAGAUCAACUACUUCAAAUAAAAUAUUUUUUUUUAGGACUUCUUGUUUAUCCGCCCGAUCUGAAUUUAAUCUCUUCUUUGACACGAAGGCGUCGCGGGAUCGUUAUGAUGAUCGCUUCAUUUGUGGCUGGAGUCGUUUCCUAAAUACAAUAAAAAAAAAAAAAUGCAAUCUUCAACAACAACAACAAAAAAAGGCAGUUUGCAUUCGCACAAAUAUUUUUUUACAAGCAAAUGGCUCACAAUAAAGAUAUUACGCUGAAAUAAAAUAUAUAUAUAUAAAUUAAACAGUAACCAUGAAUGA